rnacentral:rRNA from 1 species
GUCCACGCCGUAAACGAUGGAUACUAGCUGUUGGGAUUUAUCUCAGUGGCUAAGCGAAAGUGAUAAGUAUCCCACCUGGGGAGUACGUUCGCAAGAAUGAAACUCAAAGGAAUUGACGGGGCCCGCACAAGCGGUGGAGCAUGUGGUUUAAUUCGAUGAUACGCGAGGAACCUUACCAAGGCUUAAAUGUAGAUUGACAGGUUUGGAAACAGAUCUUUCUUCGGACAAUUUACAAGGUGCUGCAUGGUUGUCGU